GUAGUUGUGGCCGAGUGGUUAAGGCGAUGGGCUAGAAAUCCAUUGGGGUCUUCCCUCAUGCAGGUUCAAAUCCUGCUAACUGCG